UACAGAGGGUGCAAGCGUUGCUCGGAAUCAUUGGGCGUAAAGGGCAGGUAGGCGGUCUGAUUUGUCUGGAGGGGAAAGCCUUGGGCUUAACCCAAGAAGUGCCCCGGAAACGGUUAGACUUUGAGUCUUGGAGAGGGUUGCGGAAUUCCCGGUGUAGCGGUGAAAUGCGUAGAGAUCGGGAGGAACACCAGCGGCGAAGGCGGCAACCUGGACAAGCACUGACACUCAACUGCGAAAGCGUGGGGAGCAAACAGG
rnacentral:rRNA from 1 species